rnacentral:lncRNA from 1 species
AAAGCGACAUUAAGGGUCCGUUUGUUUUGGUAUAAGUGAAAAAUAUAAUGUAAUUCAAGUUACGUUAAAACUCCACCACUUUACCUAUUCUCAACUUUCACCUCUAAAGUGCUGAAUUCGACUUCCACCACACUCAAUCUUGUAUAAAAAAUUUAUUAAACAGUAAAACCUAAACUCUACUUGCUUUAUAAUGAAUUAGAAUUACCUUAUUUAUAAUAAAUUAAGAUUACCUUUAAAUAAUAAUAAAAAAUUUAAUUAUAUAAUAUGUUAAAUUUUAUAGUGGUAAAUUUAUUACUAUAUUUAAGAGAUAAUGGGAUCCACUUACUUACAUCAAAGCCAAAAACGAAACUCAAAAAACUAAUUUUACCAACACCAAGUUACAUCAAAAUAAACAGAAGAAGUAAUUGAAUUUAACUUUAAGACUGUACGAGUUACGUUAAAACAAACAAUAAAAAAAUAAUCACACUUUAGAAAAACUCAAACACCACUACACUUGACUUACGUUAGAUCUACAGAUUCGUCAAUCCAAACGCCCCCUAAACACAUUUGUAUACUCACCAAUUUAAAAAUUUAUAAAAUAUAAAAAUGGUCCCACAUUAUUCAUUCCUUCAAUUAAUUAAAUUU